rnacentral:lncRNA from 1 species
GUUUAUCUCUCCCUCCCACACCGCAUUAGCCCACCGCCGGUGACCCUUACAGUUGCUCUCCCACCGCCGCACCGGCCAACUCCACUUCAUCUUCAUGACUUUACCAUUUUCUUUCUAUCUCCCACCAUCGGCCACCACUUCUACGGUUCUACAGCCGUUUCCCAAAUCUAGCAUCUCCAGAUCUCCUAUGCCAUUUGCUGCCUGUCUGCAAUGCAUAUUGUAGCCGGCUCGCUCGGGUCCAGGGGCGGGCAACUCUCCACCAAUCUCCACUCACUGUCGUCUCCUUGAAGAAGGUGUAUCCAUAAUUCCAUUGGAUUUUAGAUUUAGUUGUUUUCUUCCAAUUUAAGUUUCUUUUCCUAGGCAUGUUGCUUUUCUGAUUUAGGGAUUUUUUAUUUGGACGGUUGGGUUUGGAAUGAAAACAACUCUGAUUUAGGGAAAAUUGAUUUUUUUAUUUUGAACUUUAUUUUAGCUUUGGGCAACAGAACAAGAAGGGAGGAGUAAUGAUGAUACCUUGAACAUGGAAGCCCAAUUCGAGGAAUUUCUUGGGGGCAAUAGUUUAGCCUGUAUCAUUAAUCGUCUCUAGUGCAAUAUAUCUGAUGCUAAAAAAUGAUGCAGGUAUGACCUUCAAAUAUAGCCUAGGAAUUGGCAGUCUAUUUUCGCUAAUUUGCGAGUCUUCAU